rnacentral:rRNA from 1 species
UACGGGGGGGGCAAGCGUUGUUCGGAAUUACUGGGCGUAAAGGGCGCGUAGGCGGCGCAACAAGUCACUUGUGAAAUCUCCGGGCUUAACCCGGAGCGGUCAAGUGAUACUGUCGUGCUAGAGUGCAGAAGGGGCAACUGGAAUUCUCGGUGUAGCGGUGAAAUGCGUAGAUAUCGAGAGGAACACCUGCGGCGAAGGCGGGUUGCUGGGCUGACACUGACGCUGAGGCGCGAAAGCUAGGGGAGCGAACGGG